GCUUACGGCCAUACCAACCUGGCUAUGCCUUAUCUCGUCUGAUCUCGGAAGCUAAGCAGGUUUGGGCCUGGUUAGUACUUGGAUGGGAGACCGCCUUGGAAUACCAGGUGCUGUAAGCU
rnacentral:rRNA from 1 species